UGGGGGAUAUUGCACAAUGGGCGAAAGCCUGAUGCAGCGACGCCGCGUGGGGGAUGAAGGCUUUCGGGUUGUAAACCUCUUUCGCUAUCGAACAAGGCCCGCUUAGGGUGGGUUGAGGGUAGGUGGAGAAGAAGCGCCGGCUAACUACGUGCCAGCAGCCGCGGUAAUACGUAGGGCGCGAGCGUUGUCCGGAAUUAUUGGGCGUAAAGGGCUUGUAGGCGGCUUGUUGCGCCUGCUGUGAAAACGCGGGGCUUAACUUCGCGCGUGCAGUGGGUACGGGCAGGCUUGAGUGUGGUAGGGGUGACUGGAAUUCCAGGUGUAGCGGUGGAAUGCGCAGAUAUCUGGAGGAACACCGAUGGCGAAGGCAGGUCACUGGGCCAUUACUGACGCUGAGGAGCAAAAGCAUGGGUAGCGAACAGG
rnacentral:rRNA from 2 species